CUUACUUGUUGCACCAAUCCUUUUCCGAACGAACGAUUUCCAAUAAUAACAGCUCUAUCAUGGUCUUGCAAUGCUCCCGAUACAAUUUCUGAAGCAGAUGCGGACAUUUCAUCUAUCAACACUACAAUAGGAAUUUCUGUGUCAAUAGGCAUUGCUGUAGCUUUAUAUACUUUAUCCCAAUCGCUAAUUUUUCCUUUAGUGCUAACUACUUCAGAACCUUUAGGAACAAAAUAAUUUACAAUAUCUAUGGCUUCUUUCAUUAAUCCUCCACCAUUU
rnacentral:ncRNA from 1 species